UACAGAGGGGGCAAGCGUUGCUCGGAAUUACUGGGCGUAAAGGGCGCGUAGGCGGCCUGUUAAGUCGAACGUGAAAUCCCCGGGCUCAACCCGGGAACUGCGUCCGAUACUGGCAGGCUUGAAUCCGGGAGAGGGAUGCGGAAUUCCAGGUGUAGCGGUGAAAUGCGUAGAUAUCUGGAGGAACACCGGUGGCGAAGGCGGCGCUCUGGGCCGGUACUGACACUGAGGAGCGAAAGCGUGGGUAGCAAACAGG
rnacentral:rRNA from 1 species